GAUGAACGCUAGCGGCAGGCCUAAUACAUGCAAGUCGAACGGUGUAGCAAUACACAGUGGCGCACGGGUGCGUAACACGUAUGCAACCUACCUAUCAUUGGGGGAUAGCCUUUGGAAACGGAGAUUAAUACCGCAUAAGACAGUAACAUGGCAUCAUGUAGCUGUUAAAGCUUUGGCGGUGAUAGAUGGGCAUGCGUCCAAUUAGUUAGUUGGUGAGGUAACGGCUCACCAAGACGAUGAUUGGUAGGGGAUCUGAGAGGAUAAUCCCCCACACUGGCACUGAGAUACGGGCCAGACUCCUACGGGAGGCAGCAGUAGGGAAUAUUGGGCAAUGGACGGAAGUCUGACCCAGCCAUGCCGCGUGCAGGAAGAAGGCGUUAUGCGUUGUAAACUGCUUUUUUAUAGGAAGAAGGAGACCUUGCGAGGUUUGGUGACGGUACUAUAAGAAUAAGCACCGGCUAACUCCGUGCCAGCCGCCGCGGUAAAAC
rnacentral:rRNA from 1 species